CCAGUAAUGUCCUCACUGCUGUCCCCCUCAGCCUCUUUGCCCGCAGCACCCUUGUCAGCCUCAAAGCUAGUUUCAGAAUCACUGCUGCUCGAGGAACCCUCAUCAGCAAAGGUUAGCUUUGAAGCUUUGGUGAUGGCCUUUUCUAUGUUCUGAUUCUCUAAAGCUUGCUCGGACUGCUCAGCUUCGUUGCGAAGCCCAGCCUGUUCAACAAAUCCUCCAAAGUCAUGGGCCUAGCAGUCUGAAUGAUGCGAGCCAGCUACAAAAGCAUUGAAACGUCAUCUUAGAAAACGAAAACAAGAAAGAUUCAUAAUUUAAAAGAAACGUAAGUAACCUUCCUACCUUCGAGAUCCUCGAGGCCAAGGACACAAGCAUGCAUCGCACGACCCUCAAAGCAUGGAAAUGGCAAGUAGGAAGCAAGAGGCGCAGAACUUUCAACCGCGAAGGUAAAAGUGAAAGCGACCCGCGCCCCCCCUUUUAUAGGUGCGGUAAAAGGGCGCGAAGCGACACUUGUAACCGCGAGCCCAAUAUGAAGGGUUACCCAAUAGAAAGCCGACACGUUAGACUUAAAAGGUAACCGUUGGUUCGUUCUCACCGAUGCUCGAGGGUGAUGUUUUUUGUAAGAAGAUCCUUAAGUCGCGGGUUUGAUCGUCGGUAUCAAGCCUCGUCCACGAGGGGCUACUGUUGGGGAUCGACCAAAAAGAUGGUCACCCUUGAGGUUAAUUCGAACUGGCGUUCUUUGCGCAGCUCUGAAAGAUGUUUAACCUCGGGUGGAACCCACUAACCUCGGGUGAAAAAUGCAAGGUGGAGAAGUACUCUGUGCAUCACGAUCCUAAGGUUCGGUCCGAAGCUAAGUGGUAUUCUUCAGUCUCCUAACUAACUAAGCUUGACCUCGAGCACUCGAAGCUAACCACGAGUGUUGAGACAUCCGCUAUCUUGUGCAGUGUUGCGUGCUCGAAGCUACGAACAAGGCGCGAGGUUAGGCACCUCCUGGACGUGAAGCUGAGGCGGUCGAAGACACCCGAAUCCAGGGUAGCUUCGGGUGCAAGGUCAUGGUCACGAGCGCGAGGCUAAGGAACGUGAAGACGUUGAAGCGGUCAAGGCGUGAUUCGCGGAACUAUGUCAGAGCAUGAUUCCUGAGACUAUCGGGAGGCGUGGGAAGCGUGAUCUCCAAAAGAUCUUCAUGUAAAGUAUAUUCCAAGAACGUAGUGGUUGAGUAGGGGUGAUUGUGGAAUGUAAAAUACCCUCCGAGACACUAUAAAAGGGGAGCCUUACCCCCGUUGUAAAUUUUACAUUCACUUCUUCAUGGAAAGAAAGCAUAAGUGUUUUCCUCACUUCGUUGUGUCUAAAUCUCACCGAAGUUAGUGACCCAACACUUAGAUACUAAUUAGGAGGACUAAACAUAAGCUAAUUACAAAACCAAUUGCAUAGAGGGAGGCUAAUUCGCGAGACGAAUCUAUUAAGGCUCACCAAUCCCUCGUGGAAUCUAUUAAACUAGCGAGAUUAGCUCUAAGGAGAUAGCUGAAAGGUCUGCGCACAGAGAACUCGAAGAACAUAGGUGACUCACAGAGAGACAACUGAGAUAGAACAACUAUGAGACAUGAUUCUCAGGGAAACACGAAACAACCAUGAUAGGAUUACUUAGACAAAAAAAUGAGUAGAUAGAGACCUACUGGGUAGAAUAGAAACUCUAAGAAAAACUAUUUUGUUUAUUAAGGCACACAAACUGUGCUUGAAAAGGAAAGACUUGGUUAGCUUUAUGAUACAACUGGAUCUGAGCUGGAACUGAAUUGGAAAGAUCUAAAGCUUUACAGAAGGCUGGAUCUACAGAAGAGAUACUGAGCUAAAGCUGACAAAGAAUGACGAUCAAACAACUUGCAUUUAUGAAAGCACAAAAGACUAUAAGCUAGGUUUAUUUUAAUUAGCAAAACAUAUGUAAAGGAUAUUCCGAAAAGAAAAUACCCUAAGUUGGAAUUAAUGCAAAUUAUACUUUAUUUGCAAAACCGAGGUAAAUCCUAGUCAAGUUUUAUUCAUAAAUGUUUAUCUAUAAAUCAUACCAAUUACACACUUAACUUUAGAAAGGUAAGAACAACUACUCGAAUAAACACAUAUGUCGUGUUGGCUAAACAAACUUUAUUUAGAAAACAAGGUCCAUUAUGUACAUUAGUCAUUUCAUCAACAAUUAAGAAAAACCGAGUUAUAACUUAACAAUAUUUUAAUUACAAAUAUUGAAGUAUAGAUUAUACCAUUUAACAUUUGACUUUAGAAAGGCUAAACUAUAUGCAACAUCUAAACAUAUGCUUUAUUAUUCAAGUGAGUCAAAUUGUUAUUGAAAACAUAUUCAUGUUGACAUUUAUCAAGUUAAUAUUUAUUUAUCAAAGCCAGGGUAGAUUCCUAAUCAGCUUUUAUUUAGGAAAGUUUAUUCAAUGUUGAACAUUAAACAAAUUAACAUUUAGUUCAUGAAAAGGCGAGUUGUAGCUCAAAUUAGCUUUUAUUUAGAAAAGUAUAUGAGAGUAAGCAUUAAUCAAAUUAAUAUUAAAUUAUUUUCAAAGAUAUGCGAUGAUGGAUAAUAUCACUACUAACGUGUACAUUAUGUUAUUAUGAAUCUAACGCAACUUGAACAGAUUAAAACGGAGCUAAAACAUAGAUUCUAUGAGCUAAACAAGAUUGCAAGGACCUAGUCGUGAUUAACCGUAGAUAACAGGGGCUAGCAAGGAAGAUUCCCGAGACACAGGAAAUAGUGCUCGCGAAUAUCAGAAAUAAUAGGGUUAGAUCCAUAAACGUGUGAGCCUCGGUUUAGAUUGAAAGAAACCGGAAAGAUUGAGGGGUUUUCUGUAAAGUUGCCAAGACACAAGAAAAGGAUCACUAAUUACAGAUUCUUCCGGGGAUCCAUUUGCAAAACCAGGGCCUUCUUCCUUCUCUACCUGAUUGCGGCGGUUGCUCUGGCCGGCCAACGGCGGCGCUUUGGCAGCCGGGCCAAGGGGAAGGGGGGGCGCUAUGCGGUGGUGCAGCCGGCGGCGGCACUAGGCGCGAGAGCGCGUGAGGUGACCCGAGGCGAGGCCCGCUACGCGACUGGGCGCCCAUGGGCGAUGGCAGGCGGCGCGUGCUAGCGCGUGCAAGCGCGGGCGGCAGGCGGCUCAAGGACGGCGGCCUGCACGGUCGGUGCUCGGGCGUGCAGCGUAGGAGGGGGGCGCCGGGUGAGCAGGAGCUCGGGGUCGACAUGGCCGGGCCGGCAUGGACAAAGAAAAAAAAAUAAGAGGGAGAAGGAAGGGGGGGAUCGCCGGAAACGACAACCAAACUCGUGCAUAAACGGCAAAACGGAACGAGAAUGACGAGAUGAACGACAUUGUGCGCUCACCAGGGCCAGAGAUGAACGCCAUAAGGAAAAGCUUGCCGGAGUUGGAGAAGAGCUCGCCGGAGCUGAGGAAGACGACAGUGCCGAUAUCGGAUUCACGUAAUCCACCACACCAUGGCAUAGAUCUCGAAGAGAGGAACUCCGUGGUGGUGUCGGUUUUCGCCGAAAGUCCACGGUUUCACCGGAAAAGCUCGCCGAAGUUUGGCGAAUACCGAACUUUGACUUCAGAUCCAUGGAGCUAGGAGGGGCAACUUGUGAAAACGUGUUCAGAUCUGGAAUCCUUGUGUCUA
rnacentral:lncRNA from 1 species